GUUCUUGGGCCAUUUUCAGCAACAAUAGGGAAAACCAGCACUAUGGGAGCUAGAUUCAGAUCAAUAUUGCACUGUUGGGAAACACGGCCCUUCUUCAGUUGAUAGCAAUGUUAGGUCGACUAUUAGAAGAUCGCUAUCAGACGGUAGUAUUCUCUACGAAACUGAUACUACAAUUAGGAGCAUGGAACAAAUAAAUUGUCAGCACUCUGGAAAAAGUGAUCAGCAUUGUCUUUUAGUGGUUUCUCCAGAUAUCUGUAUUUGUGGAAGUGAUGUUUGUCAUUGCAGGCUGAUAAGCUUUUGUCCCCAGAAUUCCAACCUUUCUAUAGUUAUUAAUUUUGAUUUUCCCAAGAAUUUAGAAACUUAUCUCCAUAGGGGAGGUUCGGGCAUCUUGGUUUAGCAGUUAACUUGAUCACUUAUUGGGACCGCUUUAAUUUGUAUGUAAUUUACAAUCUGUUAAGUUAAUGCAUUUCAACUGUAUAUGCUAUAA